rnacentral:rRNA from 1 species
GGGGGCAACCSUGAUCCAGCCAUCCCGCGUGUGCGAUGAAGGCCUUCGGGUUGUAAAGCACUUUUGGCAGGAAAGAAACGGUCSUGGUUAAUACCUGGGGCAACUGACGGUACCUGCAGAAUAAGCACCGGCUAACUACGUGCCAGCAGCCGCGGUAAUACGAAGGGYGCAAGCGUUWAUCGGAAUUACUGGGCGUAAAGCGUGCGCAGGCGGUUCGGAAAGAAAGAUGUGAAAUCCCAGAGCUUAACUUUGGAACUGCAUUUUUAACUACCGGGCUAGAGUGUGUCAGAGGGAGGUGGAAUUCCGCGUGUAGCAGUGAAAUGCGUAGAGAUGCGGAGGAACACCGAUGGCGAAGGCAGCCUCCUGGGAUAACACUGACGCUCAUGCACGAAAGCGUGGGGAGCAAACAGGAUUAGAUACCCUGGUAGUCCACGCCCUAAACGAUGUCACUAGCUGUUGGGGGCUUCGGGCCUUGGUAGCGCAACUAACRCGUGAAGUUGACCGCCUGGGGAGUACGG